rnacentral:lncRNA from 1 species
UUUUAGGUGGAUGACGUUCCUUUCUUGGCUACACAAGUACUUCCUGUUCUUUUUCUUCUGCAUCUAGAUCUAUCACCUCUCCAAGGUAAUAAUUAAUUUUCUUUGAAUAAAUAGGAAUUUGAGAAUGACUUUCUUCUAUAGGAACCAUAGUCACAUGUCUAAAUAUUUCUCGCAUCUGCCCAUUGUGACUAUCUUUUCUUUUCUCAACUUCUUCAAAUCCCUCUUCUUCCUCUUUUUCACCAAGCUUGUAUGUCUCACUUACCUCAUCUUCAUCACUACUAAUCUCAAUCACUUCUUCCUCUGCUUUUCUUUUCUCCCUUACUACAACAACACGACAUUCC